rnacentral:rRNA from 1 species
GGUGGUCCAAGAAUAAGGGCUGGGCAAGACCGGUGCCAGCCGCCGCGGUAAUACCGGCAGCCCGAGUGAUGGCCGCCGCUAUUGGGCCUAAAGCGUUCGUAACCUGCCGGGCAAGUCUAUUCGGAAAUCGACGCGCUCAACGCGUCGGCUUCCUGUGGAAACUGCCCGGCUUGGGGCCGGAAGACCCAACGGGUACAUUUGGGGUAGGAAUGAAAUCCUGUAAUCCCGGACCGAUCCCCAUUGGCUAAAGCCCCUCUAAAAGCCGGACCCAACCCUGAGGGACGAAACCCUGGUCCUCCAACCGGAUUAAAUACCCGGGUAUUCCGGGGCGUUAACAAUUCUCCUUAGGGUUGCCGCGCCUUUCCAUGGGACCGUGGGCCGAAGUUAACCCCAUAAACCAACCCCCUGGGAACACCUCCCCAAGGAUGAAACUUAAAGGAAUUGGCGGGGGACCCAAA